CCCUGUUCACUUUCACUUCACCGCCUCGACGACUCCUUGGCGCCGUGUUUACUUCCCUGCUUGGUUUUUAGAUUGCUUCCUAAAGAUGGUGUACUGCUGUGCCGUCGUUUUGUGCUCUGCUUGCGGAGGCUGCUUCGAAGACAUUAUCGGGACUAAGCCGAGUUUCUGGGAGUCCUUCAGUUCACCCCGCUUGUUGCCCAUCUCCAACCAUGUGUAUUUUUGACAAACUUUAUAACCUGUAGUACGGUGUACGAGUUUCUUCCGACUACCUGGGAAAAAAUAACAUUGCCAUUACGCUCCGAGUGGGGUUUAGCCCGAGGCAGUACCUCAUGAAUACUUAGAAAUAUACGUUCUUAUGUAGCCGGUAAAUAUCGGCUUAAUGUAGCCAUAAUUAUAGAGUUUAA